rnacentral:rRNA from 1 species
UACGUAGGGAGCAAGCGUUGUCCGGAAUCAUUGGGCGUAAAGCGCGCGUAGGUGGCCCCACAAGUCCGCUGUGAAAGUCAAAGGCUCAACCUUUGAAAGCCGGUGGAUACUGUGGGACUAGAGUGCAGAAGGGGCAACUGGAAUUCUCGGUGUAGCGGUGAAAUGCGUAGAUAUCGAGAGGAACACCUGCGGCGAAGGCGGGUUGCUGGGCUGACACUGACGCUGAACUGCGAAAGCUAGGGGAGCGAACGGG